UUAACAUAUUAAUUAAGUAUUAAUUAUUUUAAACUUAAGAAAUAGAUUAAUACGAUGUUUCUAAAACAACUUUCUUAUAGAUCUUUUCUUAAAAAAUUACACGGUUUAACCGUUCGAGAAACGUGCAUGCACAGAAAGAGAGAAAUCUCUCUCUCUUUGUCCAUGGCUCAAACGUGUGCGCGAGGAAGGAACCGCUUGAGCAAUACUCUGGCCCAGUAUUGUCAAGUCUCGGGCCCCAACAUUAUUUGGGCCUAUCCGGCCCACUUGAGCCAGGCCGGGCCAUAUGGGCCUGCUUGGAUUCCCCUUCAAGCGAUGCACGCGGUGAGCGGCGAGACGCGCCGCAGCGAUGGCGGCGGCGGGAGGAGAGCGAAGGCCGGGGCUGCCUUGCCGGCGGCGAGGUCGAGGGCGCCGGGAAAUCCGUGGCCCUCCUCCUCCGUCGUCGGCGCAGGCCGCCGCACGCGCCGGCCUCUCGGGGAACGGUAGGAAUCACCACUCCCUCCCCUAUGGACCCCGCGCUGCUUCCAUGGGCCUGUACGGCUGCCCGCAGCCGCACGAACAGUGCAGCACUCACUUUGCGAAGCCGCAGCCGCAGCCAUUGGCCUGCCGAACAGAUUGGUGAGAUUGAUGCAAAUUUUCCGGAGCGAAGUUCAAAGCAGAUUGGCUCGUGGUCUCAGAUCUUCAGUAUUUGUUUAGCGUGGCUACGCCCAUUUUAUAGUCGUUUUACUGUAGCCUGAACUGAACUGCUUCUGUGGUAUGUCAUCCACUCUGAUUUAGUAGCUUAAUUAACUUGCAAAAGUGUAACUUUUAUGAACCUUGUUCGACAAGAUUUGAUCAUUAUCUUCCAUGCAUGGCAUAUUAAACGGCUUUGUGCUUCAGUUGAAGACAAAAAAAA